rnacentral:rRNA from 1 species
GACGAACGCUGGCGGCGUGCUUAACACAUGCAAGUCGAACGGUGAAGCGCCUUCCUUUUUGGUGGGUGUGGAUGAGUGGCGAACGGGUGAGUAACACGUGAGUAACCUGCCCCCUUCUUCUGGAUAACCGCAUGAAAGUGUGGCUAAUACGGGAUAUUCUGGGUCUGUCGCAUGAUGGGUCUGGGAAAGAUAUUGUUUCGGUGGGGGAUGGGCUCGCGGCCUAUCAGCUUGUUGGUGGGGUGAUGGCCUACCAAGGCGGUGACGGGUAGCCGGCCUGAGAGGGUGGACGGCCACACUGGGACUGCGACACGGCCCAGCCUCCUACGGGAGGCAGCAGUGGGGAAUAUUGCACAAUGGGCGCAAGCCUGAUGCAGCGACGCCGCGUGAGGGAUGGAGGCCUUCGGGUUGUGAACCUCUUUCGCCAGUGAAGCAGGCCUGCCUCGUUUGUGGGUGGGUUGACGGUAGCUGGAUAAGAAGCGCCGGCUAACUACGUG